rnacentral:rRNA from 1 species
GUGCCAGCAGCCGCGGUAAUACGUAGGGUGCGAGCGUUGUCCGGAAUUAUUGGGCGUAAAGGGCUCGUAGGCGGUUUGUCGCGUCGGGAGUGAAAACCAGGUGCUUAACACCUGGCUUGCUUUCGAUACGGGCAGACUAGAGGUAUUCAGGGGAGAACGGAAUUCCUGGUGUAGCGGUGAAAUGCGCAGAUAUCAGGAGGAACACCGGUGGCGAAGGCGGUUCUCUGGGAAUGACCUGACGCUGAGGAGCGAAAGUGUGGGGAGCGAACAGGAUUAGAAACCCUGGUAGUCC